rnacentral:rRNA from 1 species
UACGUAGGGUGCGAGCGUUAAUCGGAAUUACUGGGCGUAAAGCGUGCGCAGGCGGUUAUGUAAGACAGAUGUGAAAUCCCCGGGCUGAACCUGGGAACUGCAUUUGUGACUGCAUAGCUAGAGUACGGUAGAGGGGGAUGGAAUUCCGCGUGUAGCAGUGAAAUGCGUAGAUAUGCGGAGGAACACCGAUGGCGAAGGCAAUCCCCUGGACCUGUACUGACGCUCAUGCACGAAAGCGUGGGGAGCAAACAGG